rnacentral:rRNA from 1 species
AUUGAACGCUGGCGGCAUGCCUUACACAUGCAAGUCGAACGGUAGCAGGUCUUCGGAUGCUGACGAGUGGCGAACGGGUGAGUAAUACAUCGGAACGUGCCCAGUCGUGGGGGAUAACUACUCGAAAGAGUAGCUAAUACCGCAUACGAUCUGAGGAUGAAAGCGGGGGACCUUCGGGCCUCGCGCGAUUGGAGCGGCCGAUGGCAGAUUAGGUAGUUGGUGGGAUAAAAGCUUACCAAGCCGACGAUCUGUAGCUGGUCUGAGAGGACGACCAGCCACACUGGGACUGAGACACGGCCCAGACUCCUACGGGAGGCAGCAGUGGGGAAUUUUGGACAAUGGGCGAAAGCCUGAUCCAGCAAUGCCGCGUGCAGGAUGAAGGCCUUCGGGUUGUAAACUGCUUUUGUACGGAACGAAAAAGCUUCUCCUAAUACGAGAGGCCCAUGACGGUACCGUAAGAAUAAGCACCGGCUAACUACGUGCCAGCAGCCGCCGUAAAAC